AGAGUUUGAUCCUGGCUCAGAUUGAACGCUGGCGGCAUGCUUUACACAUGCAAGUCGAACGGUAACAGGGGAGCUUGCUCCCGCUGACGAGUGGCGAACGGGUGAGUAAUGCAUCGGAACGUACCGAGUAAUGGGGGAUAACUAUCCGAAAGGAUGGCUAAUACCGCAUACGAUCUUAGGAUGAAAGUGGGGGACCUUCGGGCCUCACGUUAUUCGAGCGGCCGAUGCCUGAUUAGCUAGUUGGUAGGGUAAAAGCCUACCAAGGCUACGAUCAGUAGCGGGUCUGAGAGGAUGAUCCGCCACACUGGGACUGAGACACGGCCCAGACUCCUACGGGAGGCAGCAGUGGGGAAUUUUGGACAAUGGGGGCAACCCUGAUCCAGCCAUGCCGCGUGUCUGAAGAAGGCCUUCGGGUUGUAAAGGACUUUUGUUAGGGAGGAAAAUUUAUCCAUUAAUACUGGGUAAAGCUGACAGUACCUAAAGAAUAAGCACCGGCUAACUACGUGCCAGCAGCCGCGGUAAUACGUAGGGUGCAAGCGUUAAUCGGAAUUACUGGGCGU
rnacentral:rRNA from 1 species